rnacentral:rRNA from 1 species
CCUCCAGACUCCUACGGGAGGCAGCAGUGGGGGAUAUUGCACAAUGGGGGAAACCCUGAUGCAGCGACGCCGCGUGAGUGAAGAAGUAUUUCGGUAUGUAAAGCUCUAUCGGCAGGGAAGAAGAUGACAGUACCUGAGUAAGAAGCCCCGGCUAACUACGUGCCAGCAGCCGCGGUACUACGUAGGGGGCAAGCGUUAUCCGGAUUUACUGGGUGUAAAGGGAGCGUAGACGGUUAUGUAAGUCUGGAGUGAAAGCCCGGGGCCCAACCCCGGGACUGCUUUUGAAACUUUGUAACUAGAGUACAGGAGGGGCAUGCUGAAUUCCUGGUGUAGCGGUGAAAUGCGUAGAUAUCAGGAGGAACACCGGUGGCGAAGGCGGCCUGCUGGACUGCAACUGACGUUGAGGCCCGAAAGCGUGGGGAGCAAACAUGAUUAGAUACCCCCGUA